UUAGGCCAAUGGGUCUAAGGCCCAUUCGAAUUUUAACCCCUUUUUCCUUCUUCUUUUUUUGAAUUCCUUUCUAUAAUUAUUUCAAAAUUCAAAUUCUAUCUUGGCCAAAGUCUUGGGGCAUUUUAUUCAUUGAAAUUUAAUUUUUAAAGCACAUGGCCAAGCAUAAAUUAUUAAUCUAUCGAAUUUGAAUUUUUACAACCAUAAGCACAAAUCAUCCAAUUAAAAGACUAAUGGCUAAAACAUAAGCCAUAGAAAUUCGAUCACCUAAUUAAAGACUUUAACACACCUUAUGGCUUGGCUUUGAAUUUUUGGGAUGCC
rnacentral:lncRNA from 1 species